rnacentral:snRNA from 1 species
GAGUGCCCACUUCAACUUCUCCUGUAUUAAAAUUGGAACAAUAGAGAGAUGAUUAGUAUGGAUGACACACAAAUUAGUAAAGCAUUUCAUAUUUUU